UCCAUCCAGUAGGAGGAUAUCAAACACAGUUGAUAUUUUGAGCCAAUUUUAGAACACAUAUUAUUUUCAUUUGUCAUGCAUCUCCUAACAACAAGGCUCACUCCGUUGUUUAGUGUAUGAUGACCAGUUUUUCCUCUUUGACUAAAGUCGACAUUCUGGAUAACAACAGACAUCUGCUGGACCUAAUGCUCAUCCAAAACAGAGCGGGAAACACCAGACAGGACCUGACUUAUGCACAUUUGGUAAAUCUCUGUGUACUGAUCGUCAGGGAUGCAUUUGGUGGGCGUCUGGGUGACAUAUGAAGAUUGUAAUGCAGUUGGUCUGUGUGAAUGCGGGUGAUGGAGAAGUGGAGUGUGCAGAACACAUUAAGAGCAGAACAGGCUUAUGUAACCAAUGCAGCAAAGCACCAAAGCUCAAGGCAUCAGAACACAAGCACCAACAGCUGAUGUUU